rnacentral:rRNA from 1 species
GGACCCGCACAAGUAGUGGAGCAUGUGGUUUAAUUCGAUGCAACGCGAAGAACCUUACCAAGGCUUGACAUAUAGAGGAAAAGUGCAGAAAUGCACUCCCCGCAAGGUCUCUAUACAGGUGGUGCAUGGUUGUCGUCAGCUCGUGUCGUGAGAUGUUGGGUUAAGUCCCGCAACGAGCGCAACCCUCGUCCUAUGUUGCCAGCACGUAAUGGUGGGAACUCAUGGGAUACUGCCGGGGUCAACUCGGAGGAAGGUGGGGAUGACGUCAAAUCAUCAUGCCCCUUAUGUCUUGGGCUUCACGCAUGCUACAAUGGCCGGUACAGAGGGCUGCAAUACCGCAAGGUGGAGCGAAAUCCCAAAAAGCUAUCUCAGUUCGGAUUGGGGUCUGCAACUCGACCCCAUG